CAGUCGUGACUGCGUGCCUUUUGAAGAAUGAGCCUGCGAGUUAGCGGUGUGUAGCGAGGUUAACCCGUGUGGGGAAGCCGUAGCGAAAGCGAGUCCGAAUAGGGCGAUUGAGUUGCACGCUCUAGACCCGAAGCGGAGUGAUCUAGCCAUGGGCAGGUUGAAGCGGAGGUAAGACUUCGUGGAGGACCGAACCCACCAGGGUUGAAAACCUGGGGGAUGACCUGUGGUUAGGGGUGAAAGGCCAAUCAAACUCCGUGAUAGCUGGUUCUCCCCGAAAUGCAUUUAGGUGCAGCGUCGUGUGUUUCUUGCCGGAGGUAGAGCACUGGAUAGGCGAUGGGCCCUACCGGGUUACUGACCUUAGCCAAACUCCGAAUGCCGGUAAGUGAGAGCACGGCAGUGAGACUGUGGGGGAUAAGCUCCAUGGUCGAGAGGGAAACAGCCCAGAGCAUCGACUAAGGCCCCUAAGCGUACGCUAAGUGGGAAAGGAUGUGGAGUCGCAGAGACAACCAGGAGGUUGGCUUAGAAGCAGCCACCCUUGAAAGAGUGCGUAAUAGCUCACUGGUCAAGUGAUUCCGCGCCGACAAUGUAGCGGGGCUCAAGCGUACCGCCGAAGUCGUGUCAUUC
rnacentral:rRNA from 1 species